CCUUUCUCCUCUUUUCUGCGUGUGCCUGGCAGACACGGACGCAUCGUUGCCAAAGAAAGGAGGAGCAAGGAAAUGCAUACAAUUGCACCAUGGAGCACACUCCACUUCCCCCGCUGGCCCCAUUCCCCCCUGCAACUGUCCGAAGCCUCCUCCACAGUGAGGAAUGGGGCGCAUGUCUAGACGCCUGGAUAGCUCUGCUUGAGUUACGUUUGGAGAUACCCAAAGACGUGUUUCAAUCGUCAGUUGCCAAAGAUGACUCAUCGCGCAGAUUCCUAGCUUCUUUCCUCCAGGAAGCGGUAAUAGGGGAUGGUCUUGGUGCCGAUACAAAAUUGAAAACCCUAAGACGACUAUGUUUUCUCCUUACAAGGAGGCUGAUGCUAGAGGUUCAUCCGCCGCCUUCUGAGCUUCUGGAUUGGGAAUUCCUUGCAUUAUUUUGCCGGGGGUAUAUUUCUAGCCCGGCGACGAGGACACUCUUGGCUCAGUUAUGGGAUCAAGAAUCACAGUCUCUUAGUGUCAGUAUCGAGAAAGGGAAAGCGCUGGUAAUGAGUGAUCUAUCAACUGCUUCUAUGGUUGCGGAAACCACUGCGAGGGCAGAAAAAUAUCUGCGAUCGCUCACCUUCCUGGCAUUGGCGGUUCCCAAGGCCGGUCUACUUCUAAUGACUGGCUCAGAUUACAUUGAUACGCUGUUUGAUGCGUAUAAAAAUCAUUGCAGCAUGAACGGAAAUCUCGAAAAUCUUAAGAAGACUAUUGUGGCUAAUGCCUACGUGGGUUUUGCGUCACUGCUGAAAGUAGACCCCCCCGCGACGUCUUUACUCCUGGAUCAGCUAUUUAGUCUGAAAUCGGCCGCUAGAGUGGAUGCGAAGGGAACGAAGAGGGACCCAACAUUAUUGUCAGAUAUAAUAUGCAGUACCAAUUUACUAGGAAAGAUGGGAGCACUGUUUGUUGGCGCCAGCCAGAAAAGAGGGCAGAAUCUCGUUUCUUCGCUGCGCGCAUAUCAAACUGAAUGUGCCGCCUUACACAGCCGGUACCAACGUGUCAAAAGGAGAAAAGAUAAAGGGAAGGGUCGUGCGGAUGACGGACUCGGGCUUCACGCCCACACCAGCGAUCACGGCCAUUCCCUGGAUAUCCACAUUCAUAAAAUGGCUCUAAUAACUCAAGUCCAAGAUCUUUUCCCGCACCUGGGGACCGGAUAUAUUGCCAAACUCCUUGACUAUUACGACGACAACGUCGAAACGGUCAUCUCACAUCUUCUCGAGGAUUCUCUAGCUCCUCAGCUCCGAGACCUCAAUCUUUCAGAAGAGCUUCAACAACCCCGUGGAACCCCAGCCUCUCACGACCACCUAGCACCCAAACCCACACCGCCUCUGUCUCCCUCCCUAUCCCCAUCCCCACUACAACCUCCACCACAAUCCACCAUCCCACAGCGCAAAAAUAUCUUCGACAACGCAGACCUAACCCGCCACACCACCGCGGCCAAAUCCCUCCACUACGGCCGCGCAAGCCAGCACCAAACUGCCGACGACCUCCUCGCCGAAGGGCCCACAAAGGCAAACAAAGCCGCCAUCCUCUCCGCACUCGCCGCCUUUGACUCCGACGACGACGAGCGCGACGACACAUACGACAUGGCCGACGUGGGCGGCACCGUCGACGCUGUCGUUCCAGGUGCCGACAUCGACGCCGACGCCGAGGCCGCUGCACAUGCACACGCGGACCCCAUCGACCAAACGCUCUACACCCACUACACAGCGACGCCUGCCCUCUUCGCCCGCGACUCCGGUACGCGCCGCUCAGCGCCGCGUGCGAAGUUGCGCGAGGCGACGGGGAUGACCGAUGAGGCAAUUGAGGGGUGGGCGGUGAUGUUGGCGCGCGACCCGAGGCGGCUGGCGCGGAUGG
rnacentral:sRNA from 2 species